rnacentral:rRNA from 1 species
GUAGUUUGAUCUUGGCUCAGAUUGAACGCUGGCGGCAUGCCUUACACAUGCAAGUCGAACGGCAGCAUGAUCUAGCUUGCUAGAUUGAUGGCGAGUGGCGAACGGGUGAGUAAUACAUCGGAACGUGCCCUGUAGUGGGGAUAGCUAGUCGAAAGAUUAGCUAAUACCGUCAUACGACCUGAGGGUGAAAGUGGGGACCGCAAGGCCUCAUGCUAUAGGAGCGGCCGAUGUCUGAUUAGCUAGCUGGUGGGGUAAAGGCCCACCAAGGCGACGAUCAGUAGCUGGUCUGACGAGGACGAUCGAGCCACACUGGGACUGAGACACGGCCCAGACUCCUACGGAGGCAGCAGUGGGAAUUUGG